rnacentral:rRNA from 1 species
AGUUCGGAUUGUAGGCUGCAACUCGCCUACAUGAAGUCGGAAUUGCUAGUAAUCGUAGGUCAGCAUACUACGGUGAAUACGUUCCCGGGCCUUGUACACACCGCCCGUCAAACCAUGAGAGUUGGCAACACCCGAAGUCGGUAGUCUAACCGCAAGGAGGACGCCGCCGAAGGUGGGGUUGAUGAUUAGGGUUAAGUCGUAACAAGGUAGC